UCGGCGUGGACAUCGGGUUAUGGUAACCCAGUUAUCCUUCUUUAUACAAUUGACCUAAACCUGAGAUCACCAGUACAAAUGAACAAGAAUAUAUUUUCCCAAAAAUUCCAUGUGGAGCAAUAAUGAUCUAGAGAGCUGAAAGAUCCUUGAAUUUAGCAUCUGAAAAUCUCCUAUAUGUUUCAUCUGCAUGUGUUCCAUACAGAGUUUCAGGCUUGCGUUCAGUGAGUCUUAUCCUGAGACAUAUGGCAGUUUGAUUUACAUUACUAUCGCUAUAAAAAACUCAAAAGUUUCUUUUUUUGGUUAUUGUAUUAGUCUAGUAUUCAUACAUAUUUGGCAGUUUGAUGCUAUCAAUAAUCCACAAGUCUUUUGGUCAGAAGCACAAAUUGGUGCUGUACCUUCUGCAUUUUGAUUCCUAAAUUAAUGU
rnacentral:misc_RNA from 1 species